CUAGGAAUCUUGGGAAUGGGCGAAAGCCUGACCCAGCAACGCCGCGUGGGCGAUGAAGGCCUUCGGGUCGUAAAGCCCUUUUGCAAGGGACGAUGAUGACGGUACCUUGCGAAUAAGCCACGGCUAACUACGUGCCAGCAGCCGCGGUAAUACGUAGGUGGCAAGCGUUGUCCGGAUUUACUGGGCGUAAAGGGCGUGCAGGCGGCUUGUUAAGUGCAGGGUGAAAGCUCCCGGCUCAACUGGGAGAGGUCCUUGCAUACUGGCGAGCUCGAGGGAGGCAGAGGAAAGUGGAAUUCCCGGUGUAGUGGUGAUAUGCGUAGAUAUCGGGAGGAACACCUGUGGCGAAGGCGGCUUUCGUGGGCCUUACCUGACGCUGAGACGCGAAAGCGUGGGGAGCGAACCGGAUUAGAUACCCGGGUAGUCC
rnacentral:rRNA from 1 species